CCCUUAGAUGUCCUGGGCCGCACGCGUGCUACACUGAGUAAAUCAAUGGGUAAGGGAACACGAAAGUGCAACCUAAUCUUGAAAUUUGCUCGUGAUGGGGAUCGACGGUUGCAAUUUUCCGUCGUGAACGAGGAAUACCUUGUAGGCGCGUGUCAUCAUCACGCGCCGAAUACGUCCCUGCCCUUUGUACACACCGCCCGUCGCUCCUACCGAUUGAGUGAUCCGGUGAGGCUCUGGGACCUGGACGGAAAGAGCGUUUCGCUUGUUCUGUUUGGGAAACUUGGUCGAACCUUAUCAUUUAGAGGAAGGAGAAGUCGUAACA
rnacentral:rRNA from 1 species